rnacentral:rRNA from 1 species
CAAUAGCGUAUAUUUAAGUUGUUGCAGUUAAAAAGCUCGUAGUUGGAUUUCGGAUGGGACUUGCCGGUCCGUCGUUUCGAUGUGCACUGGCCAGUCCUAUCUUGUUGUCGGGGACUAGCUCCUGGGCUUCACUGUCCGGGACUAGGAGCUGACGAGGUUACUUUGAGUAAAUUAGAGUGUUCAAAGCAAGCCUACGCUCUGAAUACAUUAGCAUGGAAUAACACGAUAGGACUCUGGCUUAUCUUGUUGGUCUGUGAGACCAGAGUAAUGAUUAAUAGGGACAGUCGGGGGCAUUCGUAUUUCAUUGUCAGAGGUGAAAUUCUUGGAUUUAUGAAAGACGAACUUCUGCGAAAGCAUUUGUCAAGGAUGUUUUCAUUAA